AACCGUUAUAACCGGCGAUUUCCGAAUGGGGAAACCCAGUGUGAUUCGUCACACUAUCAUUAACUGAAUCCAUAGGUUAAUGAGGCGAACCGGGGGAACUGAAACAUCUAAGUACCCCGAGGAAAAGAAAUCAACCGAGAUUCCCCCAGUAGCGGCGAGCGAACGGGGAGGAGCCCAGAGCCUGAAUCAGUGUGUGUGUUAGUGGAAGCGUCUGGAAAGGCGCGCGAUACAGGGUGACAGCCCCGUACACAAAAAUGCACAUGCUGUGAGCUCGAUGAGUAGGGCGGGACACGUGGUAUCCUGUCUGAAUAUGGGGGGACCAUCCUCCAAGGCUAAAUACUCCUGACUGACCGAUAGUGAACCAGUACCGUGAGGGAAAGGCGAAAAGAACCCCGGCGAGGGGAGUGAAAAAGAACCUGAAACCGUGUACGUACAAGCAGUGGGAGCCUCUUUAUGGGGUGACUGCGUACCUUUUGUAUAAUGGGUCAGCGACUUAUAUUCUGUAGCAAGGUUAACCGAAUAGGGGAGCCGAAGGGAAACCGAGUCUUAACUGGGCGUUAAGUUGCAGGGUAUAGACCCGAAACCCGGUGAUCUAGCCAUGGGCAGGUUGAAGGUUGGGUAACACUAACUGGAGGACCGAACCGACUAAUGUUGAAAAAUUAGCGGAUGACUUGUGGCUGGGGGUGAAAGGCCAAUCAAACCGGGAGAUAGCUGGUUCUCCCCGAAAGCU
rnacentral:rRNA from 1 species